rnacentral:rRNA from 1 species
AGUCGAGCGGGGAAGGUUGCUUCGGUAACUAACCUAGCGGCGGACGGGUGAGUAAUGCUUAGGAAUCUGCCUAUUAGUGGGGGACAACAUUCCGAAAGGAAUGCUAAUACCGCAUACGCCCUACGGGGGAAAGCAGGGGAUCUUCGGACCUUGCGCUAAUAGAUGAGCCUAAGUCGGAUUAGCUAGUUGGUGGGGUAAAGGCCUACCAAGGCGACGAUCUGUAGCGGGUCUGAGAGGAUGAUCCGCCACACUGGGACUGAGACACGGCCCAGACUCCUACGGGAGGCAGCAGUGGGGAAUAUUGGACAAUGGGCGGAAGCCUGAUCCAGCCAUGCCGCGUGUGUGAAGAAGGCCUUUUGGUUGUAAAGCACUUUAAGCGAGGAGGAGGCUCCUUUAGUUAAUACCUAAAGAGAGUGGACGUUACUCGCAGAAUAAGCACCGGCUAACUCUGUGCCAGCAGCCGCGGUAAUACAGAGGGUGCGAGCGUUAGUCGGAUUUACUGGGCGUAAAGCGUGCGUAGGCGGCUUUUUAAGUCGGAUGUGAAAUCCCUGAGCUUAACUUAGGAAUUGCAUUCGAUACUGGAAAGCUAGAGUAUGGGAGAGGAUGGUAGAAUUCCAGGUGUAGCGGUGAAAUGCGUAGAGAUCUGGAGGAAUACCGAUGGCGAAGGCAGCCAUCUGGCCUAAUACUGACGCUGAGGUACGAAAGCAUGGGGAGCAAACAGGAUUAGAUACCCUGGUAGUCCAUGCCGUAAACGA